CCCCAAGAGACCACCUCUGAUACAGUGGCAUCGCAUACAACCGCAGCAUCUAAGAAGGCGACGUCAUGUCUGAUCACGACCGUUGCUCAAUCCCACUCUCUUCUCUUUCUCUUGACUCCACUCCACGUGGCUCCUUCCAUUGCCUUCUCAGGUCCAGGCGCUUAACGCUGGAAAUCCUGUUUUGAAAAGCUGCCUGUAGUUAACGCUGCGAUAGAGCAUGGAGUUUAUUUCGGAAUUACAUACGCUGAUCUUAUUGCUGAUGUUCAAGUGAGGAGGCAAACGAUACCCAAUGCGAAGCGAAGGUGAGUUUUGGGACUGUUCAAUGCUCUGUGGUUUGCUUAAGGCAUUAAAGUUUCGAAUCAUUUUGGUAACGAGCCAUGGUGACAAGUGAAGUCAAAUUUAUUGGAAGAAAUCCAAGAAUCUGUCUCAUUUCUUGUUUGUGAAUGACAUGCGAUGCAUGUUUACGAUGAAGUACUUUGCAACACAUGUUUCUUAGAAAUAUGUAAUGCUUUGAUGUAAUGGCAUGCCAAUCACAUUACCCCCUCUCCCCACUUGACAAGUUCGACACAGAAUUUUUUUCGCAAUUCUCGGCGUUUCUUUUAUAGAACACCAUCACCGUUACUGGGGGAAAAUAACCCUAUUGAAGAUAUUCUAUUCUCCAGUACAAAUGAGUCUGGACUCAUCGUUGAGCUAUCAUGAUGCUAGUAUGAUUUGGGCCUCCAAGUUUUCAUGUCCUUGGCUAUGAUUGUUGUUGCAAGUGCGGUUUAACUUCAGACAACUAGUUCUAAUAGUCUCUCAUUCUUCCUUUUGGGAAGUUUUUUGGGAUUAGUUCUUAUAUUAGGAGGUGUAGGGCCAAUCUCUGUCCAGCCUGAGGAAACCUGUGCAUGCCCCUGAUACCUUUCGGGACAUGGGAGCAUAAGAAAGGGGAUCCCAUCAACUUCUUCUGAUAUCAGAACAAGUGAUAGACGAAACUCAUCUUGGAACACAGAGUUUGAAUUUUAUGGACUUAAUCAUCAGCCUGCACCAUGUAUAAAUCAUAUCAUGAAAAUUGUCGGUGCCUGGUUGGUCCUUGCAAA